GACGAACGCUGGCGGCGUGCCUAAUACAUGCAAGUAGAACGCUGAAGGAGGAGCUUGCUUCUCUGGAUGAGUUGCGAACGGGUGAGUAACGCGUAGGUAACCUGCCUGGUAGCGGGGGAUAACUAUUGGAAACGAUAGCUAAUACCGCAUAAUAGUAGAUGUUGCAUGACAUUUGCUUAAAAGGUGCAAUUGCAUCACUACCAGAUGGACCUGCGUUGUAUUAGCUAGUUGGUGGGGUAACGGCUCACCAAGGCGACGAUACAUAGCCGACCUGAGAGGGGGAUCGGCCACACUGGGACUGAGACACGGCCCAGACUCCUACGGGAGGCAGCAGUAGGGAAUCUUCGGCAAUGGACGGAAGUCUGACCGAGCAACGCCGCGUGAGUGAAGAAGGGUUUCGGAUCGUAAAGCUCUGUUGUAAGAGAAGAACGAGUGUGAGAGUGGAAAGUUCACACUGUGACGGUAUCUUACCAGAAAGGGACGGCUAACUACGUA
rnacentral:rRNA from 1 species